GACGAACGCUGGCGGCGUGCUUAACACAUGCAAGUCGAACGGAAAGGCCCUGCUUUUGUGGGGUGCUCGAGUGGCGAACGGGUGAGUAACACGUGAGUAACCUGCCCUUGACUUUGGGAUAACUUCAGGAAACUGGGGCUAAUACCGGAUAGGAGCUCCUGCUGCAUGGUGGGGGUUGGAAAGUUUCGGCGGUUGGGGAUGGACUCGCGGCUUAUCAGCUUGUUUGUGGGGUAGUGGCUUACCAAGGCUUUGACGGGUAGCCGGCCUGAGAGGGUGACCGGCAACAAUGGGACUGAGAUACGGCCCAGAAUCCUACGGGAGGCAGCAGUGGGGAAUAUUGCACAAUGGGAGGAAGCCUGAUGCAGCAACGCCGCGGGCGGGAUGACGGCCUUCGGGUUGUAAACCGCUUUCGCCUGUGACGAAGCGUGAGUGACGGUAAUGGGUAAAGAAGCACCGGCUAACUACGUG
rnacentral:rRNA from 1 species